GACAGAGGAGGCAAGCGUUAUCCGGAAUGAUUGGGCGUAAAGGGUGCGUAGGUGGUUUGAGAAGUCUAUGGUGAAAGACCGAAGCUUAACUUCGGAGCCGCCACAGAAACUCUCAAGCUGGAGCACAGUAGAGGCAACGGGAAUUCCCAAAGGAGCGGUGAAAUGCGUAGAGAUUGGGAAGAACACCAAGGGCGAAAGCACGUUGCUAGGCUGUGGCUGACACUGAGGCACGAAAGCUAGGGGAGCAAACAGG
rnacentral:rRNA from 1 species